AGGAUGAACGCUGGCGGCGUGCCUAAUACAUGCAAGUCGAGCGAACGGACGAGAAGCUUGCUUCUCUGAUGUUAGCGGCGGACGGGUGAGUAACACGUGGAUAACCUACCUAUAAGACUGGGAUAACUUCGGGAAACCGGAGCUAAUACCGGAUAAUAUUUUGAACCGCAUGGUUCAAAAGUGAAAGACGGUCUUGCUGUCACUUAUAGAUGGAUCCGCGCUGCAUUAGCUAGUUGGUAAGGUAACGGCUUACCAAGGCAACGAUGCAUAGCCGACCUGAGAGGGUGAUCGGCCACACUGGAACUGAGACACGGUCCAGACUCCUACGGGAGGCAGCAGUAGGGAAUCUUCCGCAAUGGGCGAAAGCCUGACGGAGCAACGCCGCGUGAGUGAUGAAGGUCUUCGGAUCGUAAAACUCUGUUAUUAGGGAAGAACAUAUGUGUAAGUAACUGUGCACAUCUUGACGGUACCUAAUCAGAAAGCCACGGCUAACUACGUGCCAGCAGCCGCGGUAAUACGUAGGUGGCAAGCGUUAUCCGGAAUUAUUGGGCGUAAAGCGCGCGUAGGCGGUUUUUUAAGUCUGAUGUGAAAGCCCACGGCUCAACCGUGGAGGGUCAUUGGAAACUGGAAAACUUGAGUGCAGAAGAGGAAAGUGGAAUUCCAUGUGUAGCGGUGAAAUGCGCAGAGAUAUGGAGGAACACCAGUGGCGAAGGCGACUUUCUGGUCUGUAACUGACGCUGAUGUGCGAAAGCGUGGGGAUCAAACAGGAUUAGAUACCCUGGUAGUCCACGCCGUAAACGAUGAGUGCUAAGUGUUAGGGGGUUUCCGCCCCUUAGUGCUGCAGCUAACGCAUUAAGCACUCCG
rnacentral:rRNA from 1 species